GAUAUAUCGAUAUGCAUUGGGUUGCCAGAAGGUUUUUUUUUGCAUUGAGAUGACACUUUCGAAGUCUUACCACCAAGUAUUUUAAGUAAAAACAGCUAUCGACACAGCAAGUAUUAAAAUAAGAAUCAAAAUAAAAAAAAUUCAAAAAUGUUGCUGACAUUUUUUCAAAAAUCUUAAAAGGUAUUACAGAUAUCACAUCGAAAGAUAUUAGAUCGCUUAAAUGAAGUUAAUUUAUGCAUAUAUAUUAUGAAUCUGAAGUAAUUUUAACUUAUAUUUAAUAAAGUUUGUUAUAAUGUUUACAUUUAUAACAAUGUAAUAAUACAACAACGAAAUGUUUAAUAUAGUCUAUGGUUUUGAAUAGUAAGCUUAUUCUAUAUUAAAAAUAUUAUAGUCUUUAAUAACUCGGAAUUCUAUUUUUAUUACCAUCUACUUAAGUAAAACUCUUCCGAAGUAAAAAUUGCGGGUCUCCAUCUUUCUGGAGAUGUUAUUGGUCGCCUUAAGUGGAAAUUUUAAAAUUCGCAGCCAAAGCCAAGGAAGUGUUAAGUUUCAAGUCGCAUAUGCUUUGCCCAUAUCUUCUGCGCCUCCAUCCGCCACCUCUUCUUUUUACCAUCUCCUGCUUCUACUGCUACUUCUAUCUCCGUCCGUUUGGCGUCCGCGUUUCCUGUAUAGUUGGCUUUCUUUUCCCUGUAUGGGUGAGUAUCUAUAUGUGCAGUACGAACGUGUUCGGUUGUGUCUUUAGUACAGUUUUUUUUUUUAGUUUCAAGCUUGCGCUCCUCCUGCCUGAUACCUCUUCUCAUAUAUAUCCAAAUAUCUUCUGAUAUACAUAUAUCCAAAAAACGCAAUAAAAGAAGAGAGUUUUAGGAUCUAAGGAUUCUAAAAUCCAAGCGAUUCAAGAAAGCAGGAUGUGCAUGCACUUACCUACAUAACAUAAUGUUCAUAACGCAUGUAUCUUUUCGGGAAGAUUUCUCAACCAAGAUACAAAAACAGUGAGCAGCGAGUCCGGCUGUGGCUCUACCCACACCAAUUUUGCACCCC